CCUCAUGACCUAAUCACCUCCCCUAGGCCCCACCUCCUCAUACCAUCACAUCGGGUGUUAGGAUUUAACACAUGGAUUUUGGGGUGGACGCAAACAUUCAGUCUACAGAAAUGUUUUACACUAGUAUUUCCAUAAUGUUUUAUUUUUUAAUGACUAACUGUAAGUGGUUCAUCCCAACUUCGACAGAAAAUAUAGAAAGAGCAGGCCUAGAAAGAAGGGAAGGGCUAAGUAUUAGUUUCUCCUUCAUCACCCAAAAGCACUGGUACAAGGCACGUAUCAGGGCACUGGGUGGUGCCAGGGGCAGAAAAUCAACGCUAAUUGACUGGAGCAAAUUAAUUAAGUAAGUAAUUUUAAAAAUUGAAAACGUGAAACAAAAAAUUUGUUGACUCAUGAGACUAAGAAUUACUGAAGAGGAUUUGAAGACUCUGACCCCUCUCCCUCAUGGCUCUCAAAGGUGCUCCCUCCCUCCUAUCCCUCAGCGCUGUCUCUUCAGGAGUUUAGGACAAGACAGAAUGAACCACCAAUUUCAAGCAGUUUAGGGACCUCAAAACUCCCCCAAGGCCCAGACUACCUUUUGAAAUGAGAAGGAAAUCAAAGAACAAAACAAAUUAAUAUCUCCAAAAAUAAUCUUGCAAGGCAAGUAACAGAAACCAAAGGGGCUGGUGAAAGAGAAACAAAGGAAUUUAUUAUAAGGGCAUCUCAUGAAGCCCGAGGGCAGGCUCCAGCCAGGUUCUCCAGGGAUUGGGACUUGGAACUGAAUGUGGUCAAAAGCAAGGAGUCCCCUCCCCUUACCUUCUCCCCUUCUGUACCUUGUUCCUCUCUCCGUACACUGGUUUUUCCCAUCUCUCAGCCCACGUGGCAAAAGAUGGCUGCCUCACAACUCUCAAGCUUUCUAUCACCUCCUUCCAGGCUCAGUUCCUGGGAAAGAGAUUCUGAGUGGACCAGCUAAGGCCAGGGAUAAGGGGCCCCCAGGGCAAUUAUGGCAGAGGCGUCUCACCUCUUGUGAGGCAGAGUCUUUGUUUAAGGGAGUCAUCGUGGGUUGGGCUAAUAUCCCCACAGUGUCUCCUCCACCCAGAUAAGACCUAGUACCCCUGCCCAUGGCAUCAUCCUAGGAAACUCAGGAGGCCCCUGCUCUGGCUGUUGUCCUCCUGCAGAACUACCCAGGGUGUUGGUGGCCCUGCACUGCCAGCAGCAGAAAAUUGAGGUGGUCCUGAGCAGCUGCUUCCUGAAGACUCACCACUGGGUGCUGGAGGAAGGCGUCAUUUCAGGAUGCUCCAGUGUCAGAAAGACAAAGGAGGGUCGCAGUGUCCAGGUCUUUGUGGUGGAGAAGGAUGGUACUUGCGGACUCCGCCCCUUUACCAACAAUAGCCACGCCCUUUAUUCUCUGGAUGAAGCUUCUGCAGGUCCUCCUUAACCUCACCAAUACUGACUACACAACGCUUAGCUUCAGCUGCACGUACCCUCUGGUGGUGAAUGUCAGCCAGACUCACCCCUACCCAGUGGUCUCCUUCCCGCACUGGGGACACCACUGUCAUCCUGAGCAUCUUCACAGACCCCCAGCUCUCAUCUCCACUUGAGAACAGACCAGCUCCCCUUGGCAAGCCUCUCUACGUGGUCCUCAGAGCCACAAGCAGUGAUCCAGACAGAUUUGCCCUGGUAGCCAAUGAGGUCUUUGCCAGCUCGAGUCUCCAGGACAGGUGCUGUUAAGGCCAGGUACCACUUUGUGAAAGAGAGAUGGAGAAACUUCGGCUCAGUUCACAUAACUGGAGCCUGGAUGGCCAGGUUUCUUGUGAUGGUGAUAGGCUGGAUGCUGGGGUAAAAUCCUGCACAGACACUUCCCCAACUCUAACUCUUAGCCUUUAGUUUAGUUGUCUGAGGCAAGAGUGGGGUGGAGGAAGAUUGAUAGAGAGGCAUGUCUGUCCUCUUGUUAGGGACCAGAGAGGUUGGGGGUGAAGGUGGAAUCCAUGUGUGACCCAACUACUGUCUGGUAAGGAAUGUGGCCCCUGAGCCUUAGGCAGUGCUUCCUCAUCCCACCUUCCCUUCUCAUCUCUGGAACUCUUCCAAGGGUGGGAUCAGGCAGCUCAGUAUGGUAGAGGGUAGGGCAGAGGAUAUGGCCAAAUAAAUAGU